CUUGCCGGCGGGACCAUAUCCGGAGGCUGGCGAUUUGGCGGGAAUUGCGGCCACUGGGCUGAGCGCCGAAGUCCUGACAACUUGGACCAGGGAAAUGAACUCCAGCCGCGCCUGGCUUUGGGAAGAUCUUGGGAAGACAAGGAAUGGCUACAGAAGAAAAUUCCCCAUUGAGCAAGAAUGGUCAAAUUCCUGCAAUUGCCAGUUUGAAAGUAACAAGAACAUCAUCUGAAUCUAUUUUCUUUUCCACAGAGUUGUGAAGAGAGUCUAACAUAAAGCUGGCUACCUUUCUUUGGAAUGAAAGGUGUUUGAGACAAAGUGA